rnacentral:tRNA from 1 species
CCAUCAACCACUCGGCCAUCUCUCC